CCGGCAAAUAAAAAACAUUCUGUAAUGCACGUGAAGUAAACUCCUGCUAUUUUUAUAACGUCUUGUGACGUGGUCUGUAAAACGGAAGUUACUGUAGGCGUACGGCGCUGUGCGUCGUAGAAAACUGUACGUCGUGCUAGAUUUGACGUCUAGUUGACGUGGGGAGUUGUAGAGGGCGAGACGAAUUUGUGUGACUGUCGGACGCUCAUAAUUUGAAAAUGUGGGACUUGACCGGACUUUUCAACAUUAAAAUAAUAAUGUUGCUUUUGUUGGGGUGCUUCUUCGUGGGGUUUGUAGCGUUCUGCGUCAUAUGCUUUAGAGAUGUUUUCUGGAUUAUCCGGGGCAGCUACAAUGACAUUUGUGAAGCAUUAACAAUGGAUCCUGCCACAUUAAAAGAGGACAAGAAGGAAAAGAGUGGACGUGAAAAGAAGCUCCAAUAAAAUGUCAUUUAUUUAAAUUGUGUAGUUUAAUCUGUUGGGUUAUAAUAAAUAAUUAAUUAGUAACUA